rnacentral:misc_RNA from 1 species
GAUGAAGAACGUAGCGAAAUGCGAUAAGUAAUGUGAAUUGCAGAAUUCAGUGAAUCAUCGAGUCUUUGAACGCACAUUGCGCCCCCUGGUAUUCCGGGGGGCAUGCCUGUCCGAGCGUCAUUGCCGCCCUCAAGCACGGCUUGUGUGUUGGGCCCCCGCCCCCCGGCUUCGGGGGGCGGGCCCGAAAGGCAGCGGCGGCACCGCGUCCGGUCCUCGAGCGUAUGGGGCUUCGUCACCCGCUCUGUAGGCCCGGCCGGCGCCCGCCGGCGACCCCAAUCAAUCUUUCCAGGUUGACCUCGAAUCAGGUAGGAAUACCCGCUGAACUUAAGCAUAUCAAUAAGCGGAGGA